rnacentral:lncRNA from 13 species
UCGAAAUCUCUUUUAAUGUAAGAUAAUUGUAAUUGUCUUUCUUCUUUCCCUUAUUAAUUCAUUCCCUCUCUCUCUCUCUCCUCUCUCUCUCUCUCUUUCUCUCUCUCUCUCCAGGGUCUCACUUUGUCACCUAAGCUGGAGUGUAGAGGUACAAACGCGGCUCAUUGCAGCCUUGACCUCUUAGAUUCAAAUGAUCCUCCUGCCUCAGCCUCCCAUAUAGCUGGGACCAUAGACACAUGCUACCAUGACAGGAUAAUUUUUUGUAAUCUUUUUAUAGAGACAGAGUUUCGCUUUGUUGCCCAGGCUGGCCCAAACUCAUGGGCUUGAGUGAUCCUCCAACCUCAACUUCCUGAAGUGAUGGGAUUAGAGUCAUGAGCCACUGUGCCAGAGCUGAAAUUUUGAACACUUUGAUCACCACCACCCCAUUUCUUCUACCCCCAGCUGCUGGCAAUCACGAUUCUACUCUCUGCUUCUUCACUGAAGACAACAGCGGUGCUGAUAUGAGGACUAAAUGACACAGUGGCUGCAAAGCACCCAGCGAGAGUGAUCAGAAGGCAGAUACUCAAGACUUCUUAUUCAGGACUCUGCACUUCCGAGUUAGCACCAGAAUGAUUUCUCAUUUUUGUGAACAUCAAAAGGCCUGUUUUUUACCCUCCCCAUCCACACCUUUUCUUUCUGCCUCCUGUCCCUAAGGAUAGCAAUAAAACAUAUCUGGAAGCCCA